rnacentral:rRNA from 1 species
CCUACGGGGGGCAGCAGUAGGGAAUAUUGCUCAAUGGGGGAAACCCUGAAGCAGCAACGCCGCGUGGAGGAUGAAGGUUUUCGGAUUGUAAACUCCUUUUGUUAGAGAAGAUAAUGACGGUAACUAACGAAUAAGCACCGGCUAACUCCGGGCCAGCAGCCGCGGUAAUACGGAGGGGGCAAGCGUUACUCGGAAUCACUGGGCGUAACGAGCGCGGAGGCGGGAUCGCAAGUCAGAUGUGAAAUCCUAUGGCUUAACCAUAGAACUGCAUUUGAAACUGUUAUUCUAGAGUAUGGGAGAGGUAGGUGGAAUUCUUGGUGUAGGGGUAACAUCCGUAGAGAUCAAGAGGAAUACUCAUUGCGAAGGCGACCUGCUAGACCAUACCUGACGCUGAUGCGCGAAAGCGUGGGGAGCAAACAGGAUUAGAUACCCUUGUAGUC